AUCCCUUUCACACUUCUUGGCAGAGUUGGUAAGUGUAAUAGCCAGCAUCAGCAUGUCACUUCCUAUAUGCAGCUGGUCACUCAGCAAAAAACCACGUUACUAUUAUAGUCCCUUUUCAUAAUCAUCAAUUGUUAAGUCUAAAUUGUAACAGAAAUAUCUUAAAGGAAUGAUUCAGGCAGAACUGGAAAGGGACUGUGUCAAUCUGUACACAAUGCCAUGUGUGUUGACAGACACUAUGGCUUUACUUAUUUUCUGCCAUUAAUUCAUAGGUGGGCUAUCUUUAAACACCGUGUUGGUGAUCACAAAGGUCACCAGUGAGCAGUAGGUAGGAUAAGAGGAUUCUGGAAAUGUAGUAUACAGUUUCCCACUGCAUCGAUGAUAUCUUCUGCUACUUACAUUUCUCCUGCAAACUCUGAAUACUCUUCCUUAACAGAUCUUCUCCAUCAUCAAACCGGGACAGAAGUGUGCUUGCAGAAAUUUCUAGAUGAAUACAUAUUAAGUUAAACUCUGCCAUGUAAGUCUGGCAUUUUCCAAAGAGCACAAUAGGAGUAUUCACACAAACAGUCACAUCCAAGUGAGAGAAAUGGUUUCCAAACUACCUAGUUGUGCUUUAACUGACAGUCAUUUUCACAAACGAACCACCCAUUCUCUUUGAAAGUUUAGAUUGCUCUGUUUUGUAACUGCCUAAGUGCAAUUGAAAUAGGUGUUCUGAAGGCCACGUUUAACACGUUUCUUCCUUUAAUUUUUUUAUUCAUAACCUGUUUUGUUUCCAGUAUAAAACAUGCUUAUAAACUAGUACAAAUUCCAAAUGUGAUUAGUUCAAGGACUGAAUAGUACAGCACAGUUCCUCUCUCUUCCAUCUUCCCCUUCCUGAUGCAUUAGAGUUAAAAACAGUUAACUAAAAUCUUUUCCUUAGAGGGGUGUUUUAUAAUUCCAUUCUCUAACACUAUAAUAGUCUGGUAUUACAAACCUAUGUAAUUCAAAUAUUGCCAGAAAAAGAGCCAAGCUGACUUUGUCCUUGAGGUGUUCUAUAGUCUGCUCUUGUCCCACCACAGAUAGCCUUUUCAUUUGUCUCCUGUCUGUAAGCGCUAGGCAUGCCAUUGCAUGAUCAAAGAACAGGGUUUUGUUCCAAAGACAUAGCUAACAGGAUCCUAGAUGCAUUUACCCAAUCUUGUUACUAGGAACUCCCCAGUGAAUUUGUGUGAAUGUAUAAACCAGUCAGUUGGUUUGUGUGGAGACAGUGGCUCUGUGAAACAAUACCAUGUGUAGAAAACAUUAUAUAAAAUAUAUAUAAAAGGGAGGAUUCCACCUCACAUAAAAUUUUGAAUACCUGAUCUUGAGAUGACAGAAUGUUUUACUUUGCAACUUCACUUCAUUUUGCUAGUUUAUGUAAUCUUCUUACCAGGACUUUGUUUAACAUUAGUGUUUUUUUCAUUGUCAUCGACAUCUUCCUUCUCUUCUUCCAAAUAAUCUCCAGCUAGCGCCACUUUGGAGUAACCCAGAAAAUGCUUAGUCAAUAACUUCUUAGUGAAAUAUAUGUUGGUUUAGUAAAACAAAACAAAACAAAAUGAACCCUCUCUCUGCUGAUUAUUUGACAAGCUGCAGAAUACCUUCAAUGCAACAGGUGACCAAAAGCACUUUAGUAAAUGAUAAAGCAAAACUAUUCACUUUUUUAAAUGCUUUUGUAGUAUUAUUGAGAUCUCAAUAGUCAUAUGAUACUGUGUUUCCAAAUAUGGCCCGUUUCCAGUAGCUGUGUGCAUACACUGACAUUCAGAAACUGUCUCCUGCAUCAGGCUUCCGCUUUGCUCUAACCUGCAGCCUUCACAGCAUGCCAAUGAGAAUAUUUCUCAGUUAAGACAAAAAAUUAUAUAUGCUAAGAAAACGAUGUUCCAGUCUGGGGUCUGGAGCGUAAGACCAUGUCUGCAAUGGCCAGGAAACCAACAGUCCUUUUUUCACCUUGUGAAACAACUGUUUUUCAUUUCCCUUUGUGCAAGUGAAUCUGAGAAGCAGCCAGCCAGAGAAAGAGUCAAGUAUUUCAGUGUUCCUGUUUUGAGUUCCUGACGACUGAACUCUAUUGUGUACCUGCAGGAUUGAUUGUCUCUGCACCAUUAGAAAGCUUAGGAGCAAACCUUGUGCAAUUCUCAUUUAAACUCAUUGGUUGGCUCACAGAACUUUGAGCAGAUGCUCUUCUCUCUGAUGUUAGGAGCUCUAAUGGUUAUGUUCUGACUGGAUGCUCUGUCAUUGCUGGAGAGGCUGGGCAAGCUCUGUGCGCUUUUGCUUCCUACAUGCCUUUACACCUGCACACAGGGAGAACAAGUCAAACUGUGGAAAAUGCUUUCAGAACAACAGUGCUACUGCAGUGGAAGGGAAUGGACUUGUUACACUCUCUGAGGAAAAACUUAACCAAAAAAUAAUGAGAGGAAGAAAUACCCUCUGCCUUUUUUAUAUCUAGAGAAUGUAAGCUCUGCAAUAUUUUUCAACAGAAUAAAGUUUUGAUUAGAACAUACCAUCACGUGAAAUGAAUUUUCUAGUAGUCCCUGCAGAAAUUAGGAGGGAUAAAAAGACAAGCAAAGUUACUUUCAUAGUGGAAACGGUGCUACUUCUCCAGAGAUUAUCUUGGUCUCUGUGCUCUGCUUAGUCAUGAGAAGUGGAAUACAUCUUCCAAGGUGGGGUACUGUGACAUCAUCAUCAUGCUGAGAGCUGUCAUGAGGCAGCCAGAGGAGAACACAAGUUUUUUUUGGUCUGGAAAGACCCCACAAAUGACACUGGAGUAAAGACGACACUAACUUAAGGUGAUACAAUUAGUCUUACAAAUGGAGGGCCUUAUGGAUGUAGAAGGGCUGAAUGGCUCCUUUCCAUGUAACUCCACACUCUUAAACCAUGCUGUGGGUUGCUCAGGGGAAGAGUGCGUUUGAUAAAAACAAAUCAGCCUUCUCCUGAUGAAGUCUUACUGCAGUACACAUCCUGCAACUCCAUCUGCAAGCGUAAGAUCAACACAGCUUUCAUUUCUCACCUAUACUUUUUCUUGACUGCAAGCUACAAGUGUUUCAAACCCAUGUUUCCAAUUACAAGGUUUUUGUCUCAAGACUUCACUGCUUCAAAAUACAAUGUGUUUUGUUCAGAUAAUGCAGAAUGUAGACUUCUAGUACUACUUGGCAUGGUUCAUUUUAAAUGAAAAACCUAGGGAAGGUAUUGUAUUCCUAAUGUGUAACAGUUUGUCAAACUGCCUAUGUGGCUGCCACUGUGCCAGAGCCUUUUAAUGAAAUUUUAAGGCAUGGGAAUCAUUCUAGCUUGUGUGAACUGGAAAAGGGACAAAAAAGAUUCAAAGCACAAACCGCAAAGGUCCUACAUUAGUAGGUGACAUAGCUCCCUCUGCUGACUGCAGAAAGAAAGUUUUAUAAAAGGUAAAUGGAAAAAUGAGUUCGAGGAGAGCGAGACCAACAUAAUUAUAUGAGGAGGACGGAAGUAAAUGUGAGAGAAACAGUGUUGUUUUCGCAUAUUGGGGAUGGCGCUUUGCAAUAUUAAGGUUUUGUAAUACUAAGGCUUUGCAAUAUCAAGACUUUGCAAUACUGUGGCUGGGGCUAAAUUACUAAGGGGAGGAAACAAAGGGUUUGAAAUACCAUGACUUAAACAGACAGACUCUGUAGUUUAAAACAAUGUCAUCUUUGGAUGACAGACACACUCUGUGGUUAGAAAGAAUGUUAUCUUUGUACAACCUAUGAAACUAAGCCAGUGCAAACUGGUUCUGUAGUUAAACAGUAGGUUGAGGUACCACAUGUCUGCCAGAGAGUUAUGAAAUUGAACCAUAAAAGGAGAUAGAUAAAUAAAUAAGAGGAAGGGGCAUACGAAAUCGACACCUGCACAAGCAACAC